rnacentral:rRNA from 1 species
AGUGAACGCUGGCGGUAGGCCUAACACAUGCAAGUCGAACGGCAGCACAGUAAGAGCUUGCUCUUACGGGUGGCGAGUGGCGGACGGGUGAGGAAUACAUCGGAAUCUACUUUUUCGUGGGGGAUAACGUAGGGAAACUUACGCUAAUACCGCAUACGCCCUACGGGUGAAAGCAGGGGAUCUUCUGACCUUGCGCGAUUGAAUGAGCCGAUGUCGGAUUAGCUAGUUGGCGGGGUAAAGGCCCACCAAGGCGACGAUCCGUAGCUGGUCUGAGAGGAUGAUCAGCCACACUGGAACUGAGACACGGUCCAGACUCCUACGGGAGGCACCAGUGGGGAAUAUUGGACAAUGGGCGCAAGCAUGAUCCAGCCAUACCGCGUGGGUGAAGAAGGCCUUCGGGUUGUAAAGCCCUUUUGUUGGGAAAGAAAAGCAGCAGGUUAAUACCCCGCUGUUCUGACGGUACCCAAAGAAUAAGCACCGGCUAACUUCGUG